CUGCGUAGUCUGCCCCAGUAACUCGCAUGUCUCCUCUCUGCCUCUAUAGCCCCCAAUCCGUGCCAUCCCGUCUCCUUUCAGCAUUGUAAAAGGAGCACGAGGUCAAAAGGGGGGCAAGCGCUGAGCGGCUGGAGGCUGAUGCCUGACGGGACACCAUGCACUAGGGAAAAUCUCUGCUCGUUUUCCACCAGGUGCUACCUCGAACUAACGCCUACUCUGAGCCCGCAUUCGCUACAACCGUGGCCAACCAUUGCCCACAAUGGCUUAGGCUGGUGCCUGAUGGGACACCAUGCUUAGACGAGGAGUGCACGCCGUGGAAGUAAUCUGUUCUACGGUUCCACCCAACGGCAGCGGGCUUCCCAGAUACUCGCCUAUCGAGGUAAAUAUUGUUCUGCUUCUUCGAUGUUACUUGAUGCAUGCUAGGUGCUUGACAAAAUGACAGAGUGUGUAUAUCGUCAUACAUGUAUUUAGUAUUAGCCAUUCAGUUGGUAGAUGCAGCUUCUUGGAACUGUUGAAAAUUGGCCUCCGGUGAAGAAUAACAGUGCGCUGAAUAUCUCAACUAUGUAUCAGGUCUUGAAUCCCUACAUGGUGAUCCUAUCCUGAUAUGGAAGACAAGUACUCCAGCCGCUGAUGAAAGUGGCCCAGAAGCACACAUAAUGACACACGUGGUUUUGAUUUAUAGAGCAUUUGAGGAUCAAAUGAGAUGAAGAUCCAGUUCUCUAAUUUCUGUUUUGAUUCAGUUUUUUCAUCAUUUCUACUCAAGGUGGCGAAGGGUUUCCUUGUGAUCAGCGUGGCACCAAUCUUCUGGGUGUUAUGGAAGACCAAGAAUUAAUCCUGCUUUAAAUGUGUUCGUCCUGGAGAUCCAACCACUGUAGUUUUUUAUGUUUGUCGGUUCUUAACAUCUUGGGCAACCUUUGCAGAAAGGGGCUCUUUAAGGACUGUUGCGACAGCGAUCCGGUAAGCUGGCGAUGGUGGUGUAGGAAGUGGCGUCAACAUAGCUGGAACCAAUAAAUUGUCGUCCUCCUUUUUUUGCCCUCCUGUGUUAGCCUAUUUGGGAUUCUAUGUCCAAUUUCUUUUUUCUCUGUAUGAGAGUUGGUUGUAGUUCGUCAAUUACUGGUCGACGAUGUUGAUGCUCAUGUUACAAGGAUAUGAUGUAAGGAGUAGUUGUUUAUGCUUUUGUGUUCUGUUUGGGUGGCUUAUACCUGGCCCGUACGCUGGUGUGUGUGCAUGUGUA